rnacentral:rRNA from 1 species
CCUAGGGGCGGCAGCAGUGGGGAAUAUUGGACAAUGGGCGAAAGCCUGAUCCAGCCAUGCCGCGUGUGUGAAGAAGGCCUUCGGGUUGUAAAGCACUUUCAGUGGGGAAGAAAGCCUUGGGGCUAAUACCCUCGAGGAAGGACAUCACCCACAGAAGAAGCACCGGCUAACUCCGUGCCAGCAGCCGCGGUAAUACGGAGGGUGCGAGCGUUAAUCGGAAUUACUGGGCGUAAAGCGCGCGUAGGCGGUCUGAUAAGCCGGUUGUGAAAGCCCCGGGCUCAACCUGGGAACGGCAUCCGGAACUGUCAGGCUAGAGUGCAGGAGAGGAAGGUAGAAUUCCCGGUGUAGCGGUGAAAUGCGGAGAGAUCGGGAGGAAUACCAGUGGCGAAGGCGGCCUUCUGGACUGACACUGACGCUGAGGUGCGAAAGCGUGGGUAGCAAACAGGAUUAGAUACCCUUGUAGUC